rnacentral:rRNA from 1 species
UACGUAGGGUGCGAGCGUUGUCCGGAAUUAUUGGGCGUAAAGGGCUCGUAGGCGGUUUGUCGCGUCGGGAGUGAAAACCUUGGGCUUAACUCAGGGCUUGCUUUCGAUACGGGCGGACUUGAGUACUGCAGGGGAGACUGGAAUUCCUGGUGUAGCGGUGAAAUGCGCAGAUAUCAGGAGGAAUACCGGUGGCGAAGGCGGCAUCCUGGACCGACAUUGACGCUGAGGAGCGAAAGCUAGGGGAGCAAACGGG